GGAUUGUGGCUCAGCGGUAGAGCGCUCGCCUAGCACGGGCUUGACCUGGGUUUGAUUCUCAGCACCA
rnacentral:tRNA from 1 species